rnacentral:rRNA from 1 species
AAUCAACGCUGACGGCGUGCCUAACACAUGCAAGUCGAACGCGAAAGCCUCGCAAGGGGCAAGUAGAGUGGCAAACGGGUGAGUAACACGUGGGUGACCUGCCUUCGAGUGGGGGAUAACGUCCCGAAAGGGACGCUAAUACCGCAUAACAUCCUGCCUUUUAAGAGGUGGACAUCAAAGCUGGGGACCGCAAGGCCUGGCGCUUGAAGAGGGGCCCGCGCCUGAUUAGCUAGNGGGUGGGGUAAUGGCUCACCAAGGCAACGAUCAGUAUCCGGCCUGAGAGGGCGGACGGACACACUGGGACUGAGACACGGCCCAGACUCCUACGGGAGGCAGCAGUGGGGAAUUGUUCGC